UAAUAAAGUAUGCUUUCAGUAAGGGAAUCACUUUCUUUGAUACAUCAGACGUUUAUGGACCCCAUACUAAUGAAAUUCUUCUUGGAAAGGCCUUGAAGCAGUUGCCAAGAGAGAAAAUUCAGAUAGCCACCAAA